rnacentral:sRNA from 1 species
AUGUACCGCUCGUACACUUGCGCGCACCCGGCUGACAGCCGCUCGCGAUAUUUUGUUAGCC